ACGCUGGCGGUAUGCUUAACACAUGCAAGUCGAACGGGAUGCUUAGGCAUCUAGUGGCGGACGGGUGAGUAACGCGUGAGAAUCUGGCUCCAGGUCGGGGAUAACAGUUGGAAACGACUGCUAAUACCGGAUGUGCCGAGAGGUGAAAGAUUUAUCGCCUGGAGAUGAGCUCGCGUCUGAUUAGCUAGUUGGCGGUGUAAGGGACCACCAAGGCAUCGAUCAGUAGCUGGUCUGAGAGGAUGAUCAGCCACACUGGGACUGAGACACGGCCCAGACUCCUACGGGAGGCAGCAGUGGGGAAUUUUCCGCAAUGGGCGAAAGCCUGACGGAGCAAUACCGCGUGAGGGAGGAAGGCUCUUGGGUCGUAAACCUCUUUUCUCAAGGAAGAAGAAAGUGACGGUACUUGAGGAAUAAGCAUCGGCUAACUCCGUGCCAGCAGCCGCGGUAAUACGGAGGAUGCAAGCGUUAUCCGGAAUGAUUGGGCGUAAAGGGUCUGCAGGUGGAACUGAAAGUCUGCUGUUAAAGAGUUUGGCUUAACCAAAUAAAAGCGGUGGAAACUACAGAACUAGAGUGCGGUAGGGGCAAAAGGAAUUCCUGGUGUAGCGGUGAAAUGCGUAGAUAUCAGGAAGAACACCGGUGGCGAAAGCGUUUUGCUAGACCGUAACUGACACUGAGGGACGAAAGCUAGGGGAGCGAAUGGGAUUAGAUACCCCAGUAGUCCUAGCCGUAAACGAUGGAUACUAGGCGUGGCUUGUAUCGACCCGAGCCGUGCCGGAGCUAACGCGUUAAGUAUCCCGCCUGGGGAGUACGCACACAAGUGUGAAACUCAAAGGAAUUGACGGGGGCCCGCACAAGCGGUGGAGUAUGUGGUUUAAUUCGAUGCAACGCGAAGAACCUUACCAAGACUUGACAUCCUGCGAAUCCCGGUGAAAGCUGGGAGUGCCUUAGGGAGCGCAGAGACAGGUGGUGCAUGGCUGUCGUCAGCUCGUGUCGUGAGAUGUUGGGUUAAGUCCCGCAACGAGCGCAACCCUCGUUUUUAGUUGCCAGCAUUAAGUUGGGCACUCUAGAGAGACUGCCGGUGACAAACCGGAGGAAGGUGAGGAUGACGUCAAGUCAGCAUGCCCCUUACGUCUUGGGCUACACACGUACUACAAUGCUACGGACAGAGGGCAGCGAGCCAGGGAUGGCAAGCGAAUCCAGAAACCGUAGCUCAGUUCAGAUCGAAGGCUGCAACUCGCCUUCGUGAAGGAGGAAUCGCUAGUAAUUGCAGGUCAGCAUACUGCAGUGAAUUCGUUCCCGGGCCUUGUACACACCGCCCGUCACACCAUGGAAGUUGGUCACGCCCGAAGUCAUUACCCCAACCGAAA
rnacentral:rRNA from 1 species